rnacentral:lncRNA from 1 species
AGUCCUGGCGAGAGCCGAGGGCUCCCCGGGUUCAAAGGGCCGCAGCCCCGAGGGAACGCCCUCCUUGCUGUGCCCCGGGGGGCAGAAGCGGACUGCUGGGCGGUGGGACCGGCCUGGGCCACGGUGGCAAUUACUGUUUCCUCAAGCCUGGAGUGCAUGGUUAUGGGACAGCCACUUCCUCCUUCAAAUCACAUCCAUUAAUCUGUGUGGGCAAAGUCCAUCACUAUCAUCUAUUGAUCAUAUUUGGCUUGGGUGGAACAGAUUUUCAACUGUCACAAGUAAAAUACUCCCUACAGACCAGGUAAAUUCAUACAAACCCAACAGACUAUGCUUUUUUUUUUUUUUUGUGAGACAGGGUCUCUCUUCUGUCACCCAGGUUGGAGUGCAGUGGCGCGAUCAUGGCUCACUGCAUUUUUGACUUCCAUUGCUCCUCCUACCUCGGCUUCCCAAGUAGCUGGGACUACACGCAUGUGCCACCAUGCCUAGUGAAUCUUUUGUAUUUUUAGUAGAGACAGGGUUUUGCCAUGUUGUCCAGUCUGGCCUCAAAGUCCUGGGCUCAAGCGGUCUGUUCUCCUCAGCCUCCCCAAGGGCUGGGAUUACAGGUAUGAACCACUGUGCCUGGCCCAGACUAUGCUUUUAAAUAAAAUUUAUCAACCGAUAUUUGUAUCACACAUUCCUGUUUCCUAACUUCUGGCAUGUAAACCAUCUCACUUAUUAUCACGGAAGCUUUGGAAGGCAGGUAGGGCAGAUUAUAUUAUUAUUCUCAUAUCAUAGAUGAUGAAAUAGAGAUCUAGAGAGAUGAGGUGAACUACUCAAGCUGAUAUGAGCAAUAAUUAAUGUGAGUCUUCAGAUUCCAGACCUCAGGUUUUUCUCAAGGUGCCUGAGUUUGGGUGAGGGUGGCAGUGUUGGCUAGAAGUGAGUGGGAAAAACUCUGGAAUCCAGGUUGAAGCCUGGUUCUGCUGAUUGCUGGUUGUGUGACCUGAGGCAGAUUUCUUAAUCACAUAGCCUCAAAUUCCUCAUCUAUAUUGUUAAAUCAUUUUUUGCCUCAUAGGAUUCUUGUGAUGAUUAAAUGAAGUAACACAUGAAUGGCACUUGGCAGGGCCUCAUAUAUCUCUCCUGCUUGAAUAUAUCAGUUAUGUUAUUGUUGUUGUAUAUGUCCAAAUCCAGAUUCAACCUGCAUUCACAAAGAGAAAUGAAGAACUGAAUCAUUCGUCUGUGCUGUGCCAAGCUUCUGCCUCUAUCAACCAUGUCUUUCAAGCAUGGGUAGGAGGCAAGAGUGAAUUGCCCCAAUCGGUUGUUUACCUUGCUAAGCUUGCCUUCUGAUAGCUUUUCUCCCCAUUCUGAUUGUCCAUCACAAAGCCAAGUAUAUGUUAUAUAUGUUCCAAAGAUUGUAAGAGUAAGAGUAUUUGGUAUAUUCUAAGAGAGAAAUGUAAACUCUACAAUUUGAUUCAAUAAUUAAGUAUAUAGCCAUGUUAAAAACAGUGAAACAAAAACACCCAUCUGAGUCUUUCUUCUUAGACUAAGUAAGCUCCAAUGAAAGCAUUUCUCCUAUUUUACUUUGUUUUGAACUUUCCUCAGUUUUAGUGCAUUAUGAAUUUUUCCCAGUGUUAGUUUUAUUAGAGAUGAACCAAUUAUUUCCAUAUACCUCCAACACUGGUUCUUCUGUAAUGUUGGCUUUGAAUACAGUAGUGGUCAAAACAUCAAUUUCGUUUGGGUAGACCCUGGUGGUUUAGUAGAGUAAAGGCAAGUGAAAAUAGCAUGUUCUGGGAAGGUGCAGCCUUUCCUGUUGAACUUGGUUGAUUCUUGCAUUCAUUCAGGACCACUGAACAGCCUGUCAGAAAUGAAACUCAGCGGAAGAGUAAGACCUAAUCCCUGCCAAGUGAGCUUGCUCUCUCAUGGUGGAUACAGAAAAGUAAACAGGCAAUGAAGGAUGGUGAUGGAAGUAUAGGGAGAAUGGGAGCACAUGCAUGAGGAGCACUGAACUCAGACUGUGGGAACUCUUCUCAGAGAUGGUGACAUCUAAGCAGAGGGCUGACCAAUGACUGUGGAUUAGCAAGUCAGAGUUUGCUGGGAGGAGGGAAGAGGCAACUAUUCCAGGCCCAAAGAGAAGAUGCAAGGGCUGUGAGGAUGGAGUGAACUUGGCUGGUUUAUGGCGCGCAGAAUUUUAGGAGAAACCUGGCAGGAGAGGGACAUAAGGAGUUAGGGCCAAAAUAGGGAGAGAGUAGAACAGUGAAAACUUCUCCCACGCCUACCCCCCAAGUCCAUGAAAGUGCAAGUGACCCCACAGUUCCUCUGUCUCCAAGUGGAAAGAUAAGUUCCUUUAGCACUGGGCUUUCUGGGGACUAAAUGAAAGCAACAAUGACUCAGCACUUCACAACGUGUCAGGCACAAUUCUAGUUAUUUUAUAGUGAUUUAAACUUCUAACAAUCCUAUGAUGUAGGCAAUAUUGUUCUGCCCAUUUUACAGGUGAGGAUAUUGAGACGAGGGGAGGUAAAUUACUUCCACAGGGAAACCCAGCUGAUGAGAGGCAGAGCCAGGACUGGAUCCCAGGUGGUCUGGGGUCUGGCUCCAGAGAGUCCCCCUCCACAAAAAAGGCUGUAGUGGUUAGGUGUCCUGUAAGCAGAUUCAGGAAUGCCCCGCAGAGCUUCCAGCGCAGUGCCAUGGCAACUAGAGAGCACUCCCCUGACAUUUGCAUGAAGAGAGCAACUCUUCCAUCUCUUUUUUGUGGGGUGGGGAGGGUGGUGGAAAGCAAUGGUGAAGUAGUCAAGACAAUGUUUCACUAAAACAUGCUUAUCAAAAUAAGCAUGUCUCUAAGCUACAAAUUAUAACAGCUAUUGCAAAUUAUGGUGGUUUACCAUGGAAGAGAUUUCAGACUCCCCUUAUCUUUACUUUUGCUUUCUCUUUAACAUAGGUAAUGAAAUCAGACAGGUCAUUGUCCAUUAAAGUCUGUAACGCUUCCUGAUUCUCAAGAAAUGAAAACGAAACAUUUUCUUUGCCUUUGCAGCACUGCUACAUUUUAUUCAAAUUCAAAGACUACCUUUUACCAUGACUCAGUCAGCAUUUUAUUUUGUUGUGUCAUUUUUAAAGCAAAAUUUCUCUUUUUAGAAGACUAUGUGACAUGCUCCUGCUCCCAAACGAAAAUGCAGGCUCCAGCCAUACCUGACAUGGCUUUUUGGUUUCUCUUCCAGAAGUUCAUGGAUUCCAAUGCCAAAGACACAAUAUUGGUUUUGAUGCACUUGCAGUAGCACAAAGUGAAGUCCUGGCGACCUUAUCCUAGUUUCAUAAAAGAAAAAAAAGUUAAAGAGAUGGGGAAGAUAAUAGCUAAAAAACAACAACAAAAAAGCUGAAUUCAAACUGCGAUGACUUUAUCAAAGGACUGUCCUACUUACAUUCAACAUAACAUCAAAAUUAACAUCACCUUGCCAGUAUUUGUAGUUUAGUCACAACUUUUCAACUACACUCUACUCUCUUUUGGGGAAAAGAAAGUUACGCAUGCUAGCUGUUUUCAAGUUUGGCAGAUGCACUUUGAAAAUACUCGUUGGAGAGUGAGAUUAAAAACAAAAACGCUGUGUAAUAUUUCUAUUACCAGGAGCAAAAUUAUUUCUAUGAAAAAAUAUUUGAGGAACAUCUUUAAUUUGUUGCUGGAAUUGAUUUGUGUGUGUUUGUUGCUUAUUUCUCUGUUCUGGUCAAAAAGCUGUCAAGUUGGAUCAGGCCGUUUGAUCCUAUCCUAUUUCCAGUCUUCUUCUAGGACCUGUGAGCAUGGGCAAACACUUUUUAAUUAUCCUGAUCAAGUGUGGGGGACAUCCUUUUGCUGACCCCACUUGUAAUCAACUGUGAUCUCCUAGAAGCAGGCGAAUUGAUUGCUUCUGUCCUCCCCAACUAGCCAGAAGAGUAGGUCUUGCAUUAUCCUGGCCCUUUGAAAAAUCCAACUCAGUGAUUGAUUUUGUGGCUGCCGGUGGCAGCAAAUUCCUCAACGUGAAUUCUACCAAGUGAAAAAGUAUUUCCUAUAACUUGCUUUAAAUUUCCUUAGCAUUAACUUCUCUGAGUGGCCCAGUCUCUUAUGGGACAAUGUAAUAAGGAUCUAUUGGUUUUACUGCCUAGUACCUAUCUUUAAUGCCUAAGUAAAUCUCUCUUAUUUUUCCGCCCAGGCUUAGUAAUUCUGACUUUUGAAAUCUCCUGUCGUGAACAAAUCUACACUGCACUUUAUUUCUUGCCCCGCCCUGGAAUUCAGCCACUCCUGCACUACAUUUCUUAAGGUGAAGAAGUGAAAGAUGAAGACACCAAUCCACGUGAACGUGUAUUAUUCUCUUCUAUAGUGCUAUUGUAUUAUAUUCCCUCUUUUUUUUUAAUUCUCUUGAUUUCUCUGCACAAAGGAGGGAAAUUCUUCCAAAGCAACGGAAAGUUUCCUUGCAAUAUUUUUAUCUAGUCACACUUACAUAGUGUAAUGUCUCUCUCUUACAGCAUUUUACAGUUUGGGAUUUGUUUUUAAUCCUGUGGAAAAUGUCCUAACAGGGCUUUGGUGUAUCUUUGUUCCAAUUUCUACAUUGCUUGGGGAGGGGGAGAAGCUUUCUUUGUAUUAAAUGAAAUAACACCUCUACUUCAUUAAGUAAAUAGACACCUCAACCAUUAGUUGCUAAUGAAACAAAAAUCUAAGUAAAACAUCUAACUAUCCAAAUACUACAUUUUCUCUACAUUUACCCCAAAAUGUGCCUUAUCUCCCUGCACCUCCAAAUAAUAUUUCUAGUGUUUUCAUUUUAUUAGUUUUGCAAUGUCACUGUCCAGAUAGAAUUAUUCGAUGACUUAAAACAACUUUCGUAAGAUUUUCAAGCCCUAAAUUAAAAAAUCAUAUUUCAAUAAAA